UACGUAGGGGGCAAGCGUUGUCCGGAUUUAUUGGGCGUAAAGAGCGUGUAGGCGGCCAGGUAGGUCGGUUGUGAAAACUCGAGGCUCAACCUCGAGACGCCGGUGGAAACCAUCAGGCUAGAGUCCGGAAGAGGAGAGUGGAAUUCCUGGUGUAGCGGUGGAAUGCGCAGAUAUCAGGAGGAACACCGGUGGCGAAGGCGGGUCUCUGGGCAGUAACUGACGCUGAGGAGCGAAAGCGUGGGGAGCGAACAGG
rnacentral:rRNA from 1 species